CUACGGGUGGCAGCAGUGGGGAAUAUUGCACAAUGGGCGCAAGCCUGAUGCAGCCAUGCCGCGUGUAUGAAGAAGGCCUUCGGGUUGUAAAGUACUUUCAGCGGGGAGGAAGGGAGUAAAGUUAAUACCUUUGCUCAUUGACGUUACCCGCAGAAGAAGCACCGGCUAACUCCGUGCCAGCAGCCGCGGUAAUACGGAGCGUGCAAGCGUUAAUCGGAAUUACUGGGCGUAAAGCGCACGCAGGCGGUCUGUUAAGUCAGAUGUGAAAUCCCCGGGCUCAACCUGGGAACUGCAUCUGAUACUGGCAAGCUUGAGUCUCGUAGAGGGGGGUAGAAUUCCAGGUGUAGCGGUGAAAUGCGUAGAGAUCUGGAGGAAUACCGGUGGCGAAGGCGGCCCCCUGGACGAAGACUGACGCUCAGGUGCGAAAGCGUGGGGAGCAAACAGGAUUAGAUACCCCUGUAGUC
rnacentral:rRNA from 1 species